rnacentral:rRNA from 1 species
GUGAGGAAUAUUGGUCAAUGGGCGGGAGCCUGAACCAGCCAAGUCGCGUGAAGGAAGAAGGAUCUAUGGUUCGUAAACUUCUUUUGCAGGGGAAUAAAGUGCAGGACGUGUCCUGUUUUGUAUGUACCCUGAGAAUAAGGAUCGGCUAACUCCGUGCCAGCAGCCGCGGUAAUACGGAGGAUCCGAGCGUUAUCCGGAUUUAUUGGGUUUAAAUGGUGCGUAGGUGGUUUGAUAAGUCAGCUGUGAAAGUUUGCAGCUUAACUGUAAAAAUGCCGUUGAAACUGUCGGACUUGAGUGUAAAUGAGGUAGGCGGAAUGCGUGGUGUAGCGGUGAAAUGCAUAGAUAUCACGCAGAACUCCGAUUGCGAAGGCAGCUUACUAAGCUACAACUGACACUGAAGCACGAAAGCGUGGGGAUCAAACAGGAUUAGAUACCCUAGUAGUCC